ensembl:snRNA U1 U1 spliceosomal RNA
UUUCUUACCUGACAGGGGAGAUACCAUGAUGGAGAAAGGUGGUUUUCCCAGGGAAGGCUCAUACAUUGCAUUCUGUGUGUGCAGACACCUUUGAUUUUUUUUCACCCAGUAGUAGUAGUUUCCCUGAAAAAUAGAAGC